GAUGAACGCUGGCGGCGUGCCUAAUACAUGCAAGUCGAGCGAACGGACGAGAAGCUUGCUUCUCUGAUGUUAGCGGCGGACGGGUGAGUAACACGUGGAUAACCUACCUAUAAGACUGGGAUAACUUCGGGAAACCGGAGCUAAUACCGGAUAAUAUUUUGAACCGCAUGGUUCAAAAGUGAAAGACGGUCUUGCUGUCACUUAUAGAUGGAUCCGCGCUGCAUUAGCUAGUUGGUAAGGUAACGGCUUACCAAGGCAACGAUGCAUAGCCGACCUGAGAGGGUGAUCGGCCACACUGGAACUGAGACACGGUCCAGACUCCUACGGGAGGCAGCAGUAGGGAAUCUUCCGCAAUGGGCGAAAGCCUGACGGAGCAACGCCGCGUGAGUGAUGAAGGUCUUCGGAUCGUAAAACUCUGUUAUUAGGGAAGAACAUAUGUGUAAGUAACUGUGCACAUCUUGACGGUACCUAAUCAGAAAGCCACGGCUAACUACGUGCCAGCAGCCGCGGUAAUACGUAGGUGGCAAGCGUUAUCCGGAAUUAUUGGGCGUAAAGCGCGCGUAGGCGGUUUUUUAAGUCUGAUGUGAAAGCCCACGGCUCAACCGUGGAGGGUCAUUGGAAACUGGAAAACUUGAGUGCAGAAGAGGAAAGUGGAAUUCCAUGUGUAGCGGUGAAAUGCGCAGAGAUAUGGAGGAACACCAGUGGCGAAGGCGACUUUCUGGUCCGUAACUGACGCUGAUGUGCGAAAGCGUGGGGAUCAAACAGGAUUAGAUACCCUGGUAGUCCACGCCGUAAACGAUGAGUGCUAAGUGUUAGGGGGUUUCCGCCCCUUAGUGCUGCAGCUAAUGCAUUAAGCACUCCGCCUGGGGAGUACGACCGCAAGGUUGAAACUCAAAGGAAUUGACGGGGACCCGCACAAGCGGUGGAGCAUGUGGUUUAAUUCGAAGCAACGCGAAGAACCUUACCAAAUCUUGACAUCCUUUGACAACUCUAGAGAUAGAGCCUUCCCCUUCGGGGGACAAAGUGACAGGUGGUGCAUGGUUGUCGUCAGCUCGUGUCGUGAGAUGUUGGGUUAAGUCCCGCAACGAGCGCAACCCUUAAGCUUAGUUGCCAUCAUUAAGUUGGGCACUCUAAGUUGACUGCCGGUGACAAACCGGAGGAAGGUGGGGAUGACGUCAAAUCAUCAUGCCCCUUAUGAUUUGGGCUACACACGUGCUACAAUGGACAAUACAAAGGGCAGCGAAACCGCGAGGUCAAGCAAAUCCCAUAAAGUUGUUCUCAGUUCGGAUUGUAGUCUGCAACUCGACUACAUGAAGCUGGAAUCGCUAGUAAUCGUAGAUCAGCAUGCUACGGUGAAUACGUUCCCGGGUCU
rnacentral:rRNA from 1 species